CACGUGCAAUGGCCUCAUGCAGCUGCAUGCAAAAAAUUAAGGUGAACUCAAGUAUGUUGAUAUGGGAAGAAAUUGAAUUGAAUGACAGUUCACUGAUUACUAUCACUUAAAAAUAAGCACUACAUCUUUCUGGAAUGACACGUAGCAUAAUGCAAUAUAUUCCUUGUUUUCUAUUAUGUUGCAGUGGACUAUGCAUUUUCUGAGUAUUUUGAGAAAACUUGCAUCACAAUCUUUGAGGUUCUAGAAACAAGAGCAUGCAUCAAAAUAAACCUUUCAAGCAUUGUCCUAUGUAUUUUCAUUAGCGUGAACAAUUAACAAUCACAAAGAAAUGAUUCACCCACAAUAAGCAUCAAAUUAAGUAAUCUCUACAGGUUUUAGUGUUUUACAUACCGAGGGAUCAAAAGGCUUUCCAACUGUUGCUACAGCAGCAACCUGCAAGCUCCUCAUAAUCUCCACAAACUGCUUGUAUAUACCUUGGUAACUUG
rnacentral:misc_RNA from 1 species